rnacentral:rRNA from 1 species
GGAAUUCGAUUCCUACGGGAGGCAGCAGUGGGGAAUAUUGCACAAUGGGCGCAAGCCUGAUGCAGCAACGCCGCGUGGGGGAUGAAGGCCUUCGGGUUGUAAACCCCUUUUAGUAGGGAAGAAGCGAAAGUGACGGUACCUACAGAAAAAGCGCCGGCUAACUACGUGCCAGCAGCCGCGGUAAUACGUAGGGCGCAAGCGUUGUCCGGAAUUAUUGGGCGUAAAGAGCUCGUAGGCGGUUUGUCGCGUCUGCUGUGAAAUCCCGAGGCUCAACCUCGGGUCUGCAGUGGGUAC